rnacentral:rRNA from 1 species
GACGAACGCUGGCGGCGUGCUUAACACAUGCAAGUUGAACGAAGAGCGACGGAAGCUUGCUUCUAUCAAUCUUAGUGGCGAACGGGUGAGUAACGCGUAAUCAACCUGCCCUUCAGAGGGGGACAACAGUUGGAAACGACUGCUAAUACCGCAUACGAUCUAAUCUCGGCAUCGAGGAUGGAUGAAAGGUGGCCUCUACAUGUAAGCUAUCACUGAAGGAGGGGAUUGCGUCUGAUUAGCUAGUUGGAGGGGUAACGGCCCACCAAGGCGAUGAUCAGUAGCCGGUCUGAGAGGAUGAACGGCCACAUUGGGACUGAGACACGGCCCAGACUCCUACGGGAGGCAGCAGUGGGGAAUCUUCCGCAAUGGACGAAAGUCUGACGGAGCAACGCCGCGUGAGUGAUGACGGCCUUCGGGUUGUAAAGCUCUGUUAAUCGGGACGAAAGGCCUUCUUGCGAAUAGUGAGAAGGAUUGACGGUACCGGAAUAGAAAGCCACGGCUAACUACGUG